GGAUUCCUUAUUCAAAAAUUAUAAAGAAUUUCAAGACGGCUACAGUAGAGCUUUAAACUAUGUGUCGGGGUCCUUCUAAAUGCAGGGCCCUGUGAGACUGCACAGAUCACACACCUGUGAAGUCAGCCCUAUAUAUGCAUAUGUAAGUGUGUAUGUGUGUGUUGUCGAGGACAUGUGUGCUUCUUCUUGGAGGAAUGCAUAAAGAUACCAUUGUCUUUUAUUCUUCCACCUCAAUUUUAGAGACUAGAUAAAUCUGCAUAUGAGGGCCUGGCCCCUUUUUAGUACUUUUCAGCCUCGGAUAGUGGUGGAAAACAUGUGAAUCCUAGUUCAAAUUUCCUCUCACUCUUUGUAGGGUUGUGAGCCCAUUAUGUAUUUUUUCUGUGCCUCAUCUUUUCAACUCGAAAAUGGGGACAUAAGGUACACUUAGUCAUGGAGUUAUUAAGGAGAUUAAAAUAAAUCCGUUAAUAUUAGUGAAGUGCCUGGAGUAAGCCUUCCCAUAGCUCUAUGUAAGCAGCUGUUAAAGUAAAAAUUUUGAAGCCUUUAUUAUGUGAGAACUUAAACUUAAACCUCCUCCCAUGUUAAGUAAGGACCAGGGAACUAUUAAGCUUCCCCCUAAGGGAACCAUUUACGACCACAGCCCUUUCUGGGUCAGGAAGGGCAUGUUGAUUUGAAAGUCCCCUAACGUGUUAAUGGAUGCUAACAAAAGACUUCCUAUUCAGGAAGCAAAGGACACCUGGGGCUGACCACCCUCACUCUUCACUGAUGUUUCCUGCUUUUGUUAAAUAUAAAGUAAAUAAAUCAAAAUAAACAAAAAGAAAGCCAAUAACAACAACUACCAAACAUCAGUAUAUCCUUUUAGUUGCUAUGGCUCCUUAAAGGACUGGAGAAUUGUCUGGAAGCAAAAUCAGUUGACUCCUAAACUCUUAAGAGAUUUUAUUGCUAUUAUGGUGCAGAAGAAGUGCUAAAGAGCCAUAUCACCUAGCUCAACAGCGUGGAAAUUGGAAACGCUGUCUUGUAAUGUCUGGAUAGGGAAGACAAGAGUCUAUGACCUGAAAGAGAGGGGGACAGAGAAUAUAUUUCCAUUUGCCAAUUACAGACACAUGUCCAGUGCAGAUGAUUGUCUUUAUGUUUUCUAACUUGGACCAUCAAACAUCCUUUCAUUCCACAGUCUUCCUCAGAUUAGCAUCUGGUGUCCUUGUUUUGCAUCCUCUCUUCACCUUGCCUUGAGUCUUCAAAGCCAACUUUAAAUGGACUGUUUUUCCUUAGCCUUCCCCUUAAUCAUAAUAAUUAAAAAGUCCAUGAAAUUAUGGUUUUGAUAACUUUUUUCUAAAAAUCAUACUAAAACAAAUAUAUAACUAUUUAAUUUUUUAAAAGUUUGUCCACAUCUCUCCUACAAUCUCUUGAACUACCAGGGUUCUGAUCUAAGAGAAGCUAGAAUCUACAGAUGUUAACACAACUCCAUGGAGGCCUGAAGCAAGAAGCUUCAUAGGGUGUGAAGGGGCAGGUGGGCCAGGCAGCAGGUGAAGGCCAUGCUCUAGAAGUGAGAUGCUGGGCAGGUCUCUCCUUUCUCCAUGCAUAAAGCAGAUGGGGAAAUGAUGGGGUGAGAAUUCACUUAGGGCUACGAAUUGCUGGGAGGUGUUUUGGGUAGCAACGAAAAACAAGUAACAGCAACAAAGAAGGCUGGACAAAAUCAUGUAUACUAUCGAACUGAAAUCUCAGCAGCAAUAACUUGAGGACCCAGGAAACUGCCAAGUCCUCAAAAGCCUUGACUUUCAGAGCUCUUGCCGGAGUAGCAAUAGGAGUGGUGGGAAAUCAAGAAAGUCAGACAUUCCAGAGUGUCCUAAAAAGAGUGUCAUCAAAAGCAUCUGAGCAUGGGAUCGAUGCUGGGCUAAAGGACUACGGAAUCCACAAGGAGCUGAAGGACGGGAGAAGCAGGAGGGCCUAUGGGUCAGUAUGGGCUGAGGAAGGUGUUCAGUGAGUAUAGGUGUGUGAGAAGAUCAAACAGACAAAGUAACAGACACACGCACACACAGAGCCAUACAGAGACACACACCUUUCUUUCUAAGAUUUUUUUUUAAGUCUAUAGAACUUUGAAUUGAUUUGACAUCCCCUCUUUAAAUAAGAGGGGACAUUCCCUCUUUUGAUAUAAGCUCUGAAAUGCAUAAGAAAUUCCUUGUAAAAAUUUACAGUCUUUUUGAAUGGAUGUUUUUUAAUAUUUUCAAUUACAGAUUUAUGGCAGAAUUUUUCAUAGGCCUGAAUUGUCUGUUUAAUAUUAAAAUGAUUUUUGUAGGGAGCCAUCUGUUAUAUGAUCAGGCAUGGAAAUUCUUUACAGGGCUUUCCAUCAGCACUCCUCCAGUGUUUGUCAUGCUUCAAAUAUCCCCAGGCACUUGUGUUUCCAUUUAGAGGAGCAAGGUAAAGGACUCAGAGGCAGGACAUGAUGUCUCCUCGAUUGUUCAGCAGCUGUUACUGAAAACACUGUGUUCGGCAUAUGUUUUUUCCCCAACCUAAGCUCAAUGUUUUCCUUUACUAUGACAAAACAAUAUCCUGAGAAAAAGGACAGUUUAUUAAUCUUUGAAUCUCGUAUCAGAACAAACUUUGCUCAUUGCACUAAUCAACUCACGUUUUUCUUCAAAGCUGUUUUAUCCUCUAAAAAUGGUAAAACUUCGGCUCAUUUUCCCCAUGAGUACUAUUCCCCUGAGUGCAAUUUCAUCGGAGCUAACUCUAUUUUACCAAGUAGAUUUCAUCUCAAGUGCUCCCUUUGAAUCACUGGGCUGGGAGCUGCCUGAAAAAGAAUGUGGGAAGGAUUUCGAGGGUGAGCUCAGGGUCAGUGGAGAGUACUACAAUUGAUUACUUAUGUCUGCUUUGGGUGUAGAAGUAGUGAGCAUGAGACACAUGUGCCCUUUAUUUGCUGUCUCUGGCCUUUACAGUUUCUAUGUCCCUCAAUUACUGUGCUCAUUAAUAAGCAUUGUGAAAUGGCUGGCCUUGAGGCAAACAUACACAAAAAAAAUCAACCUCUCUAUCUGGGAAACAAGCUUGACCCUGACAUCACAAUAACGUUAACAACAACAAUAAUAGCAGCUACAUUUGUUGAACAUUUGCUGUAAGCCCCACUGUAGGUAAUUUACUAACAUUAAAUCAUUUCAUUUAUUCCCCACAAACUACCACAAUAUACAUAUUAUUCACCCAGAUUUUUGACUAAGUCUCAAAAAAUGAAGUAACUUUACUGAGUUCACCCUUUUGCUCAACACAUCCGCACAAAUUCGUAUUGUUCUGGAUACCUAGAACCAUCACUCCCUUCCAUAACCACUCAGUCAUUUUCCUCCUUACAUUCAAAUCCUAGCAGUCUCUCCCUCUAUACAUAGCUCCUCAUCCUGGAAGACUCCUUGAUAAAGCAGAGAGAAAGACUAGCUUCAGAUCAGCUAAGUUGGACAUUCUCUGAGCCAUGACGCGCUCUUCUCUGUAGCUAUAUUAUUUCACAUGACCCAUUCUUAAUAAUUCAGCCUAACCAUCUGUUUGUUCAAUUCCAUUUAAGAAUUUUUCUUUGUAAUGGUUUUGUCAAUUGUCUGCAUUUUGAAUUUAAUUAAAUUGUUAUAUAUCUCAAUUAGGUAGUCAAUUCAAAACACUUAGUGGAUCCAAUCUGAGCUUUUCAAUAGCUGGUCAAAAUAAAUAAUCAAUGCCAUUCACCUAAUGGUCCUUCCAUGAAAAUUAGCUGUGACCUUAGUGGUAAAAAUAUGGUAAAAUGAUUUAUGGUCAUAUCCCUCUAUAUAAGAGAGAAGCAGACAAUCAUAAUUUUUAAGAGGUGUCUGUGUCCAGUUCCCUGGUGUAGUUCUUAAUGCCAAGAGAGCCAAAAGCCCCCUGUUGAUCACUGGCUUUAAAAUUCUCCAUUAUAGGUGUGAGUUAGCCAAUCGUAUCGUCCCAUCUCAUUUGCCUGGUGAUGUAUAGACUUGACUUUAGUUCCCAUUUACACCUUGCAGAAACCAAUAAUAGUUCUCUUCCUCUUGAAAAAAAAUAAACAGAAAUAUCAAAAGGAAAUACCUUUAUAGGGUGGAGACAGGACUGGAUGAGUUGUGUAUCACUGUUUACAUCCAAAUCAAAUAACGGGAAAGAAAACAAUUAGUCAAGUUCAUACUCUAGGUUCUGUUUAAUGUGUCUGUUUUCAAGCCUGUUCAAGCUAUUUUGCCUGAGCAAAGCUUUUGUUUGCCUUCUUAAGGUUUACUUUGCUUUGAGACCUUAGCGCAUGAACUGGUUUGGCAAACUUGUCUCUCUGAGGCAAAACUUGAAAAGCGAGACAUUCAAACACUUGUAAAAUGUAGAUUUUUGCUUUUACUAAAGUCCAUUCCAGGUCUAAUCUAGGUUCACUCUCUUUUACCCAACAGUUCCCUGGGCAGAAAUGUGAUCCUAGCCCAUUCACAAUCUGACUCUUCCGUUUCCCAGGAUGCACAUUAUCUAAUGUUUGAGCUUCAAUGCUGAUUUACCAUUACCAGAACUCUUGCUGCUGCUCGCUCUUUGGGUCCACGCUGCCUUUAGGAGCUGUAACACUCACGGCGAAGGUCCGCAGCUUCACUCCUGAGCCAGCGAGACCACGAGCCCACCGGGAGGAAAGAACAACUCCAGACGCGCCGCCUUAAGAGCUGUAACACUCACCGUGAAGGUCCGCAGCUUCACUCCUGAGCCGGCGAGACCACGAACCCACCAGAAGGAAGAAACUCCAAAGACGUUCAAACAUCAGAAGGAACAAACUCCGGACACGCCACCUUUAAGAACUGUAACACUCACCGCGAGGGUCCAUGGCUUCAUUCUUGAAGUCAGUGAGAUCAAGAACACACCAAUUCUGGACCCAGUAUCUCCCCAUACCCUAACUCCUUUCCCAAAGUAGGCAGAAAAACAGCCCUGUUGUUCCGGUGGAAGCCUUAGCUCUGUAUUCCUUUUAGACUGUAUUUCAAAACGCAUUAUUAGAGCCCCAAAGUCACCUGGUGAAAGAAUGUGAGAGCUGGAAGUGGCCUCAAAAUCCAGUUGAACCCUCUUAUUUCAUAUGUUUGGAAACUGAGCACUAGAAAAGAUGACUGCUGGAGCUCCUGCCUACUCCAGGAUGGCAGGAAGAAGGAAGGAAAGAAAAAGGCACACCUCUCCACUUUUAAGUAGCUUUGCUAGAACUCUCACAAAACACUUGUAUUACAUCUCAUCAGACUAUAAAUUCAAAGAAGACCAGGAAAUGUAGCUAUUAUCUGGACAACACUGGCCCAGCUAAAACUCAGAUUUCUGUUCCUACUGGAGAAGAAAAGACUAGAUAUUGGGAGGUAACUGGAAGUUUCUCCUGAGCAGGAUUUAGGUAUUAUACAAAACAACACGUUACUCUCUUGAUAUCUGUUUCCCUCAAUAUUUUAAAGCAAAUCUACUUAAAGCAGAGACCAAGUUUUUAUAGUGAAUGGUAAGGGGGAAGUUUUGAGUGGAAUUUUACCAUGAAAAAUGAUACUAAAAUUGUGAAAGCAUAUUUUAUUUUAUAUUUAAUGUAAUUUAGGUUAUAAUAUCCAUUAUUUAUUAGGGUUUUUUUGCCAAGAAUGAGUUAAGUG
rnacentral:lncRNA from 1 species